rnacentral:rRNA from 1 species
CCUACGGGGGGCUGCAGUGGGGAAUUUUGGACAAUGGGCGAAAGCCUGAUCCAGCCAUGCCGCGUGCAGGAUGAAGGCCUUCGGGUUGUAAACUGCUUUUGUACGGAACGAAAAGACUCCUUCUAAUAAAGGGGGUCCAUGACGGUACCGUAAGAAUAAGCACCGGCUAACUACGUGCCAGCAGCCGCGGUAAUACGUAGGGUGCAAGCGUUAAUCGGAAUUACUGGGCGUAAAGCGUGCGCAGGCGGUUAUAUAAGACAGAUGUGAAAUCCCCGGGCUCAACCUGGGAACUGCAUUUGUGACUGUAUAGCUAGAGUACGGCAGAGGGGGAUGGAAUUCCGCGUGUAGCAGUGAAAUGCGUAGAUAUGCGGAGGAACACCGAUGGCGAAGGCAAUCCCCUGGGCCUGUACUGACGCUCAUGCACGAAAGCGUGGGGAGCAAACAGGAUUAGAUACCCCUGUAGUC